GCAAACUUGGUCAUUUAGAGGAAGUAAAAGUCGUAACAAGGUUUCCGUAGGUGAACCUGCGGAAGGAUCAUUAACGAAAUCCAAAAUCUUACAAACCCCAUUGUGAACCGAGCAACCUCUUCUUCGGGAGAGGGAGCAUUUUAUUACAAACUCAUUGUGUUCAAAGCAUGUAAUUGUCGCGCAAGCGAUCAAACCCAAAUAUAACUUUCAGCAACGGAUCUCUUGGCUCUCGCAUCGAUGAAGAACGCAGC
rnacentral:misc_RNA from 1 species